AGUUCAUAGAAACUGGUCAAGGAAGCUAGCAUAGAUUUAGACCAGCGGUGGAUGCACUGAAGUUAUGUUAGAGGCCGGUGCCUCUACAUAACUUUGGUGGAUCCACCGCCAGCGCAGGG